rnacentral:rRNA from 1 species
CUACGUGCCAGCAGCCGCGGUAAUACGUAGGUGGUAAGCGUUGUCCGGAAUUAUUGGGCGUAAAGCGCGCGCAGGCGGAUCAGUCAGUCUGUCUUAAAAGUUCGGGGCUUAACCCCGUGAUGGGAUGGAAACUGCUGAUCUAGAGUAUCGGAGAGGAAAGUGGAAUUCCUAGUGUAGCGGUGAAAUGCGUAGAUAUUAGGAAGAACACCAGUGGCGAAGGCGACUUUCUGGACGAAAACUGACGCUGAGGCGCGAAAGCCAGGGGAGCGAACGGGAUUAGAUACCCCGGUAGUCCUGGCCGUAAACGAUGGGUACUAGGUGUAGGAGGUAUCGACCCCUUCUGUGCCGGAGUUAACGCAAUAAGUACCCCGCCUGGGGAGUACGACCGCAAGGUUGAAACUCAAAGGAAUUGACGGGGGCCCGCACAAGCGGUGGAGUAUGUGGUUUAAUUCGACGCAACGCGAAGAACCUUACCAGGUCUUGACAUUGAUGGACAGAACUAGAGAUAG